UGACGAGUGGCGGACGGGUGAGUAAUGCUUGGGAACUUGCCUUUGCGAGGGGGAUACCAGUUGGAAACGACUGUUAAUACCGCAUAAAACCUACGGGUCAAACGGGGGAGCUUGCUCCUCUGGCGCGAAGAGAGGCCCAAGUGAGAUUAGCUAGUUGGUGAGGUAAGGGCUCACCAAGGCGACGAUCUCUAGCUGUUCUGAGAGGAAGAUCAGCCACACUGGGACUGAGACACGGCCCAGACUCCUACGGGAGGCAGCAGUGGGGAAUAUUGCACAAUGGGGGAAACCCUGAUGCAGCCAUGCCGCGUGUGUGAAGAAGGCCUUCGGGUUGUAAAGCACUUUCAGUUGCGAGGAAAGGGUGUUGGUUAAUACCCAACAUCUAUGACGUUAACAACAGAAGAAGCACCGGCUAACUCCGUGCCAGCAGCCGCGGUAAUACGGAGGGUGCGAGCGUUAAUCGGAAUUACUGGGCGUAAAGCGCACGCAGGCGGUUUGUUAAGCUAGAUGUGAAAGCCCUGGGCUCAACCUGGGAUGGUCAUUUAGAACUGGCAAGCUAGAGUUUUGGAGAGGGGAGUGGAAUUCCAGGUGUAGCGGUGAAAUGCGUAGAUAUCUGGAGGAACAUCGGUGGCGAAGGCGGCUCUCUGGUCAAAGACUGACGCUCAUGUGCGAAAGUGUGGGUAGCGAACAGGAUUAGAUACCCUGGUAGUCCACACUGUAAACGCUGUCUACUAGCUGUGUGUGAAUGUAUAUUCGUGCGUAGCGCAGCCAACGCGAUAAGUAGACCGCCUGGGGAGUACGGCCGCAAGGUUAAAACUCAAAUGAAUUGACGGGGGCCCGCACAAGCGGUGGAGCAUGUGGUUUAAUUCGAUGCAACGCGA
rnacentral:rRNA from 1 species